rnacentral:rRNA from 1 species
UACGGAGGGUGCAAGCGUUAUCCGGAUUCACUGGGUUUAAAGGGUGCGUAGGAGGACAGGGAAGUCCGUGGUGAAAUCCUAGAGCUUAACUCUAGAACUGCCGUGGAUACUCUCUGUCUUGAAUCCCGUGGAGAUGAGCGGAAUAUGUCAUGUAGCGGUGAAAUGCUUAGAUAUGACAUAGAACACCAAUUGCGAAGGCAGCUCGUUACACGAAGAUUGACUCUGAGGCACGAAAGCGUGGGGAUCAAACAGG